UACGUAGGGGGCAAGCGUUGUCCGGAUUUAUUGGGCGUAAAGAGCGUGUAGGCGGUUAGAUAGGUCCGCUGUGAAAACUCGAGCUCAACCUCGAGACGCCGAUGGAAACCCUCCUAACUAGAGUCCGGAAGAGGAGAGUGGAAUUCCUGGUGUAGCGGUGAAAUGCGCAGAUAUCAGGAAGAACACCCGUGGCUAAGGCGGCUCUCUAGUACGGUACUGACGCUGAGACGCGAAAGCGUGGGGAGCGAACAGG
rnacentral:rRNA from 1 species